AACGAACGCUGGCGGCAUGCCUAACACAUGCAAGUCGAACGAAGUCUUCGGACUUAGUGGCGCACGGGUGCGUAACGCGUGGGAAUCUGCCCUUGGGUGCGGAAUAACUUCUCGAAAGGGAUGCUAAUACCGCAUAAUGUCGUAAGACCAAAGAUUUAUCGCCCAAGGAUGAGCCCGCGUAAGAUUAGCUAGUUGGUGGGGUAAAAGCCUACCAAGGCGACGAUCUUUAGCUGGUCUGAGAGGAUGAUCAGCCACACUGGGACUGAGACACGGCCCAGACUCCUACGGAGGCAGCAGUGGGGAAUAUUGCGCAAU
rnacentral:rRNA from 1 species